UAGUUUAUGACGCAAAGAUUUAAUUUCAUAAGAAAAGACGCGGAAUAACGUAUAGAAAUGUUUUUUUACAAAGGAUUUUACUCGGUUGAUUGUUUUCACGCUUUCCUGUUUAGUUGUGGAAGGUUGUGGGCGUUUGAAGUGUUAUCAGUGUAACUCUCAGGAUUCCCCAACUACGUGUGGAGAGAAAAACUUUAAUGCUGAUGCCCACAAGGAUACUACAGUCAGCGGAAGCACCAUAAUUAUUUCUCCACAUAAUGGUGGAACCAGUUGUAUACGUGGCUAUGCUGUCAACGACAAGGGAAUAUACUAUUAUCGUGACAAAUCAAACGAGGCGCUUUGGGAUGGAUGCAAGACUCCACAAAUGUGUGCUUGCAGUGAAGAUCUCUGUAACUCUAAAGGGUCAAGGGGGAUCUAUGUGACCUCAACCCUUCUCUUCUGUUACUUGACAACGGUUGUUGUAAAGAGGAUAACGUUUUGAUAUUUGUUGAUA